UACAGAGGUCCCAAGCGUUAUCCGGAUUCAUUGGGUUUAAAGGGAGCGUAGGCGGCCUUGUAAGUCAGUGGUGAAAUCUCGCAGCUUAACUGCGAAACUGCCAUUGAUACUGCAGGGCUUGAGUACAGAUGCUGUGGGCGGAAUAUGACAUGUAGUGGUGAAAUACAUAGAGAUGUCAUAGAACACCGAUUGCGAAGGCAGCUCACAAAACUGUAACUGACGCUGAGGCUCGAAAGUGUGGGGAUCAAACAGG
rnacentral:rRNA from 1 species